UACGGAGGGUGCAAGCGUUAUCCGGAUUUACUGGGUUUAAAGGGUGCGUAGGCGGGCUAUUAAGUCAGUGGUGAAAUCCCGGGGCUCAACCUCGGAACUGCCAUUGAUACUAUUAGCCUUGAAUUAUGUUGAGGUUGGCGGAAUACAACAUGUAGCGGUGAAAUGCGUAGAGAUCUGGAGGAAUACCGAUGGCGAAGGCAGCCAUCUGGCCUAAUACUGACGCUGAGGUACGAAAGCAUGGGGAGCAAACAGG
rnacentral:rRNA from 1 species